AUUGGACAGGGGACAGAGAAGUUAAUUUCGCACUGAAAAGAAAGAGAGGGCAGGACCUGCGUAAGGUCGCCUGGGCCCUGGGACCGGCAUCCACAUCCCCCAUGCUUCCUCUCCCAGCAGCUCUCUCGUUUGCUUACUUAUUCAGUCAUCUGCUCAGAAAAGGCUCACUGUCGCCUGUGGCAUCCUUCCCUUUUUGCCAGAGUCUGGGAAUGUGGCAAAAGUGAUGGCCCUCGGUCUGGUGAAGCAGACACGGCAGCCAGCAGCACUGGUCACACGGCUCUCCUUCUGGAAUCCUGGCUUCCUGGAGGCAGGAACAGUGUCUCAUUCCCUGGAGUUUCCCAGUGCCUAGAACAGUGCCUGACUUUGGAUGGAAGCACUCAGCCAAUUUUGUUGAAUGAAUUUGUUUAGCACAAAUGACAUGCCACAACUGACCAGGCCCUGAGGACCCAGUGGCGAUUAAAUUGCCCUUCUAGAGAACUCUGAAAGUUCUUUCUGUCAGUCUACAGGCUGAGCGCAAAGUAUACUGAGGCCAAAAGCGGUGAGAAAGCAUCCACUCCUGGAGCUCCAUCCGCCUCCCUCCGAGGACAGCUUGUGGUGCGUACCCGUUGGAAAUACGUUGCCUAUUAUACCAAGUGUUACUAAAAUAGAGAAACUGCUUACUACCAGUUCAUUCAUUCUUCAGUGAACGGCCCCCACCGGCCAGCACUGUGAGCUGCUGGCAGGCAGAGCUUCUGAAAAGAAGGAGGUAACCGGAACGACCUCCUGCCCCCACCACUGCCACACCUUAAAACAACAGAACUGCAGUGGCUGGCCCGGUGGCGCAGCGGUUAAGUGUGCACGUUCUGCUCCAGCGGCCCUGGGUUCACCAGUUCAGAUCCUGGGUGCAGACAUGGCACCGCUUGAUGAGUCAUGCUGUGGGAGGAGUCCCACAUAUAAAGUAGAGGAAGGUGGGCAUGGAUGUUAGCUCAGGGCCAGUCUUCCUCAAAAAAAAAAAAAAAAAAAAAGAACUGCAGCCCAAAGAUGAUAGGACUUAAUCUGAUUCAUAAGGUCGGGUCUCGUCCAAUUUCCCACAGGCUCCUUUUUUUUUACUUUUUAUUUGGAAAUAAAUAUUGAUUUAUAGAAAGUUGCAAAAAUGUUACCAAAAGGUCUUAGGAACCCUUAGUUUCCCUCAAUGUUAACAUCUUGUACAAAACCAGAAAAUCGACAUCAGCACAAUCCACAGAUUUCGGCAUUUUUACAUGCACCCGUUUGUGUGUCUGUGGGUAGUUCUCUCAGUUUCGUCCACAUGUGUGUGUUUGUGCAACCACACCAUAAUCAAGAUCCAGAACUGCUCCACCACCACAAAGGCCUUCCUCCUGCCAGCUUUUAUGGUCACACACCCUCCCCACCAUCCCUUCCCCAUCCCUAACCCCUGGCAACCACUAAUGUAUUCUCCAUCUCUCUAAUGUUGUCAUUUUGAUAAUGUUGUAUAAAUGGAACUAUAUGUCACCUUGCUGAUUGGCUUUUCUCAUUCAGCAUAAUUCUCUUGAGAGCCAUACAAGUCGUCGUAUUUAUCAAUAGUUCGUUCCUUUUUAUUGAUAAGUAGUAUUCCACCAUCUGGCUGUACCACAAUCUGUGGAACCAUUUACUCACUGAAGAACCUUUGGGUUGCUCCCAGUCUGGAACUAUUAUAAAUAAAGCAGUUAUGAACAUUUGUGCACUUGUUUUGUGUGGACGUUUUCAUUUUUCCGGAACAAAUGCCUAGGAGUACAAUUGCUGGGUCAUAUAUAAGUAUAUCUUUGGUUUUAUAAGAAACUGCCGGGCCAUCGCCUCGUGAAGCUGAGCGAAGAGGCCACGCAGAGGCUGAGCAGCUCUUCAAGGGCAGCCGACCCGCUGGGCUGUGUUCCGCUCAGGUUCAUCUGGGCUUCAGGAGGGCGCGGAUCCCGGAAUGCCUGAGCCAACCAUUCUGAGCUUGCUUUGGGGAUAAAGGACUAUUUGGUCAUUGGAUUUGGAAGCAGUCAGUGGACAGGAACGACACGGAAGGUGUGCACUCCGGCUGGGGUAAGAGCUGGGACGUCGUUCACACGUUCACCAGUUGAACGGUUCAGGGCUCGGACUUCACAGAUGCACGUAUGACAGUGAGACCUCCACUGACUUAUUUAUGGUGGACUGUAGCAAAAUCAGUGAUUUUAAACAAUGCUUAAAAAGGUAAAAAAGAAACUGCCAAACUAUAUUCCAGAGUGGCUGUGCUAUUUAACAUUCCCACAGCAACGUAUGAGAGAUCUGAUUUCAGUGCAUCCUCGCCAGAAUUUGAUAUUGUCACUGUUUAUUAUGUUAGUUGUUUUAAUAGGUGUGUAAUAAUCUUAUUGUAGUUUAAUUUGCAUUUCCCUAAUGGCCGAUGGUGUUGGAUGUAUGAAAUAUCCUUUUUGCCGAAAUGCGUGUUGAAGUCUUUUGUUCUGAUUGGACUGUUUGUUUGAGUUUUGACAGUUUUUUACAUAUCUGAGAUCCUAGUUGUUUGUCAGAUAUGUGACUUGCAGAUUAUUUUUUGAUGAAGUCUAAUUUGUCAGUUUUUCCUUUUAUGGGUUGUGUUUUUGGCGUCGUGUCUAAGAACGCUUCAGCUAGCCCUAGGCCCUAGUGAAGAUUUUCACUUGUUUUCUUCUAAAAGUUUUCUAGCUUUAUGUUUCAGCUUUAAAUCUAUGAUCCAUUUUGAGUUCAUUUUUGUAUAAAGAGUGAGGUUUAAGUCAAGAUUCCUUUUUUUUUUCUUAUAGAUGUCCAAAUAGUCCAGUUUAUUUGUUGAAAAGACUAUCCUUCACUGAAUGCCAAAAAUCAGUUGGCUGCACUCAUGUGGGUCUUUUUCUGGGUUCUUUGUCCCAUUGAUCUAGUUGUCUAUCCUUCUGCCAAUACCACAUUGUCUUG
ensembl:lncRNA